rnacentral:Y_RNA from 1 species
GAUUGGUCUGAAGGUGGUGGGUUAUCUCAACUGAUUGUACAUUGUCAGUUACAGACUGAUCUUGUUCUGUCUUUCCCCCCUUCCCACUACUGCACUUUACUACUCUUAU